rnacentral:rRNA from 1 species
CAGACGGGUGAGUAACAUGUGGGCAUCUUCCCUUUGGUGAGGAAUAACACGAGGAAACUUGUGCUAAUACCUCAUAAGUCUUUACGGAGAAAGCUUUAUGCGCCAAUGGAUGAGCCCGCACUUGAUUAGUUUGUUGGUGGGGUAAUGGCCUACCAAGACUUUUAUCAAUAGCUGAUCUGAGAGGAUGAUCAGCCACAUUGGGACUGAGACACGGCCCAAACUCCUACGGGAGGCAGCAGUAGGGAAUAUUGCACAAUGGAGGAAACUCUGAUGCAGCGAUGCCGCGUGAGUGAAGAAGGCCCUUGGGUUGUAAAGCUCUUUCGUCGGGGAAGAAAAUGACUGUACCCGAAUAAGAAGGUCCGGCUAACUUCGUGCCAGCAGCCGCGGUAAUACGAAGGGACCUAGCGUAGUUCGGAAUUACUGGGCUUAAAGAGUUCGUAGGUGGUUAAAAUAGUUGGUUGUGAAAUCCCGAAGCUUAACUUCGGAACUGCAAUCAAAACUUUUUAGCUAGAGUAUGAUAGAGGAAAGCAGAAUUUCUAGUGUAGAGGUGAAAUUCGUAGAUAUUAGAAAGAAUACCAAUUGCGAAGGCAGCUUUCUGGAUCAUUACUGACACUGAGGAACGAAAGCAUGGGUAGCGAAGAGGAUUAGAUACCCUCGUAGUCCAUGCCGUAAACGAUGUGUGU